AAUCUACAGAAUAAAAUCAAUAGAAAUCGCAGCUACACAAUGGCACCAUUCCUUUUUUUUUUUAAAUGCCUGUUUCUAGAAACUAUGACAAUUCAGUCAGCACUCCUUCUUUGCAGAUUCUUUACCAGCAGAAUUCACUCUGCCACAAUGACAGUUACGUUACAUUUGCCAUGAACUUUUGGCAAACUGGAUGCCUCCAAGGAUCACAUCUUUGUGACAUACAAUAGGACCCUCUAUGCCGAGGUCCCCAAUCCCUGGUCUGUGGCCUGAGCCUAACCGGGCCAUGGAGAAAGACUUCCUGCCCCCCCCCGUGCACGCACUCACCCCGCACAGCUGAUUUGCACAUGCUGUGCGUGCCCGUGUGAGCACCGCACCGUCAUUUGUGCAUGCACACGAGUGAGCAAGCGUGCAUAAUCGCCGCACCACUGUUUGUGCGCACACACAUGUUCAUUCACACUCAAUCGUUCACACAUGUCCACGAUCUUGGGGGGUGCCCCGCCUUCCCCAGCCGGUCCGCGGGGUGAAAAAGGUUUGGGACCCCUAAUUUAAAGCCUGUGUUUCAAGGUGUGCUUGGCCAUUUUUGGCUACAGAUAUAACCAUUUUCCUGCUCCAGGUUUUUUACAUGCCUUUUUCUCUUGAUCAGGUUUAACUAGCCAAUGUGACUCGGUCUUUGCAGAGACUAAUCCUUAGGACUUACUAUGCAUAGGGUUAGAACCCUGCUGGGUUGAGGGCAUGUUUGUUCAACAGUGUUGAUUUAGUGAGAAAGCUUAUAUACUGAAGAGCUAAACAACAAAAUACAUUGUUUUUAGGCUCUGGUGUUUGGUUCUUUACUCUCUUUUUGUGCAGCUUUUUUUUGGGGGGGGGGGAAAUGCCAAAAAGCUAAGGUAAACAAAUGUAUGCACUUGUGCACAGGGUUUAGCACUAAUGAAGGUGGUACUGCUAAACGCUGGCUUCAUUGCAUUGGUUAUAAGGCAGUCAUUGCCCAGAGUGGUGAUUGCUUCCAGGCAAGCAAAUGCACAGAGAUUUACAAAACUUGGUUCUCCAUCCCACUCCAGUUCUGUGCUACAUGUGGUUAACCUAGGCAAUAUUAACUUUUGUGAAUUUAUUUGCAGAACUGGCGUCAGUUUUCCUGAAUUUGAUAGACACUAAUAAUUUCUAGGAAUCUAUAUGCAAAAAUGGUUUCAGAUGGUCUGAUCUGACGACAGUUUCCCCAUUUGUUGAAUGGCUUGUUCAGAGGCCAGAAGGGUUCUGCUCUUUCUUCAUUUUUAGGCAACACCUGAAAGUAGAAGAGCUGAGCCUAAUGUCCUUGCUGAGUUGUAUAACAAGAUUUCUGAAAUGAGAACUUAUGUAAAUUGCUUUUUUUAAAAAUAAUCUGUUCUAGCUUCUCAGUCUCAUUGCCAAUUAAUGUAAACUGAAGCAGAAAGCAAAGGUUAUUUUUUGCAGUGGGCAGUUAUGGUACGGUCAUUGUUAUUGAUCAAACCAAAUGCACUACCAAGAAUCUCGGAUGUUCACAUGGAUACCAAAAAUGGGAAGCAUGAAUCAGUUCCUCUCCGCGUGCUUCUCUGUGGUCUUCCAAAACAUUUGCUGUUGAAAUGCUACAGAUAGGAGAAAACAAGAAGAACAGCUCAGGAUCCUGUUUCAAACCCUGGAAGAUGAAAAGGCACCUCAGGGUUUAUUUUUCUGAGCUUAGUACGUAUUCAUGCACUCGCCAGCUGCCACAGGCAAGCAGGAAUUCCAUGUAGACGAGAGAGCAUUGUAGCAGGGAAGAGCCAGAGAGCUCCUUUUCUCCUUUGCACCAGACCUCUUGGACUACCAAAGUUGUAAUUCAAAAAAAGUAAUUUUCCCAAUAUCUGCCCUGCAUCCAGCACAGAAACCAGGCGGGCUACAGGAGGGAGGGGUGGCGUUCCCUGCCCCUUCCUCUACUAGCUCCCAGCAGUCAAAUCAUUGUUCCUUUCUUUUUGCAGGCUAGUAACUUUUGUGGUCCUAUUUCCAAGGCAGAAUUAAUUGUGUAUUUUUUUUUUACAAAAAAGUCUCGGGGGUGGGAAAUUUUCUUUAAGAUAUUUAUGAUGUUUCUAAUGUCCUAUUUCUUGUAAAAAUUUUAAGACGUUGCACUUGCGUUGUUCCCAUUUGUUGAAGGCAAUCUGAUUUGAAACGUGUCCUUAUAAUAAACAGCUGCUUGGAGACCA